rnacentral:rRNA from 1 species
AACGAACGCUGGCGGCAGGCUUAACUCAUGCAAGUCGAACGCGUGUAGCAAUACACGAGUGGCGCACGGGUGAGUAACGCGUGGAUAUCUGCCUUUUGGUUCGGAAUAACCCCGGGAAACUGGGGCUAAUACCGGACGGUUCCUUCGGGAUAAAGAUUUAUCGCCAAAAGAUGAGUCCGCGUCCGAUUAGCUAGUUGGUGAGGUAAUGGCUCACCAAGGCGACGAUCGGUAGCUGGUCUGAGAGGACGAUCAGCCACACUGGGACUGAGACACGGCCCAGACUCCUACGGGAGGCAGCAGUGGGGAAUAUUGGACAAUGGGGGCAACCCUGAUCCAGCCAUGCCGCGUGAGUGAUGAAGGCCUUCGGGUUGUAAAGCUCUUUUGGCGGGGACGAUGAUGACGGUACCCGCAGAAUAAGCCCCGGCUAACUUCGUGCCAGCCGCCGCGGUAAUAC